GUGGGGAAUCUUGCGCAAUGGGCGAAAGCCUGACGCAGCCAUGCCGCGUGAAUGAUGAAGGUCUUAGGAUUGUAAAAUUCUUUCACCGGGGACGAUAAUGACGGUACCCGGAGAAGAAGCUCCGACUAACUUCGUGCCAGCAGCCGCGGUAAUACGAAGGGGGCUAGCGUUGCUCGGAAUUACUGGGCGUAAAGGGCGCGUAGGCGGACAGCUUAGUCAGAGGUGAAAGCCCAGGGCUCAACCUUGGAAUUGCCUUUGAUACUGGCUGUCUUGAGUUUGGGAGAGGUGAGUGGAACUCCGAGUGUAGAGGUGAAAUUCGUAGAUAUUCGGAAGAACACCAGUGGCGAAGGCGACUCACUGGCCCAAUACUGACGCUGAGGCGCGAAAGCGUGGGGAGCAAACAGGAUUAGAAACCCCUGUAGUCC
rnacentral:rRNA from 1 species